UGGUUGUCACCACAGCAAGACCACCCGUUAGGGGACUGGAGCUCAGAGGGUCCCUGGAGAACAGGACCAACGGUGUCUUUUCAUCAAAGAACGGCAGAACAGCGUCUUUUCACCAAAGAACAAACGACUGGGAGGUGGAGGCAGAUGCUCUGCGUUGGUCUCAGUUACAGACUCGGAAGUUGAGGGCGACUUCGGAGUCACAGAUUUGGUUGUCACCAAAGUUCCUUGUCUCAGCGACGAGGGGCUGCCUUAGACGUCAGGAUGAGGAGACUUCAAGCUGGCUCAUUCUAUCCUGGUAGAAGGGAAAUCCAGGCAUCGGGUCCUGCAGUGGUCAGCGCUGGCUCCGUCCGACUCCGUGCGAAUCGCCUUGGGUUUGUCCCUUUUGUCGCCGAGGCUCUGGAGAUGCUCAGACCGUAAGUGCCAGAACUGGCAGUCGGGGAACCUAGGGUCUUGAUAGCCUGGCGGUAAAAGCAGUUUUAGUGCAGAGGCUUGUGACGUUUCAAGGAGCGGUGUCACGCCCCACGCAUCGCGCUUUUAAAGAUCCUCCUUUGUUCGUGUCUACUUUUGUGGUUGUUGCCACAGUAAGAUCACCAGUUAGGGGACUGGAGCUCUGAGGGUCCCUGGAGAAAAGAACCAAAAGUGCCUUUUCACCAAAAGAUCCCUGAAGAACAAACGACUAUACAGGUUGAAAGAUUCCUCACCUGAGGUGCGGAGGUACAGGCAAACCUGCAGAAUGUAUCUGUGAACUCGAACUCGGGAGCAGCUUCCUGGUCUCCGGGACUGCAUGGCUGAUGAGUCCGAAAAUGCAGAAGCGAGGUUCUCACAGACUGCUCAAAAGCCUUUCAGGAUCAGAGCAUCUAUGCCAGGUUCUAACACAGUGGUUCUCAACCUGUGGGUCGCGACUCCUGAGGGGUGAGGGUAUCGAACGACCCUUUCACGGGAAUUGCCUAAGACAACAGGAAAACACAGAUAUUUGCAUACGAUUCAUAACUAGCAAAAUUGCAGCUAUGAAUUGGCAAUGAAUAUAAAUUUGUGGUUGUGGGUCAGCACAGCAUGAGGAACUGUAUUAAAAGGUUGCAACAUUAGUGUGAUGGCUUGUAUGGCCCAGGGAGUGGCACUAUUAGAAGUAGAGCUUAGAAAUGGACUAGUGGAGAGGACGCCACUUCGCGCUUAGGCCGAGUGGAGUUUAGUCCAUGAAAUGCUGAACUCCAGGUAGUGCUGUACUGUGGGUAGCUCCGGUGAAGAGCAAAACAACCCUCCGAUAAUGCGGCCACACCAGCUCUCUUCUGUUUUUGAGGAUGGAUAGCAAACAUUUCAACUGUGGUGCUUCUCAUUCUGCCUGCUCAGCUGUGUCUCUUCUUCCUGGUUCAUUCCUCGGAGCAGCACCCUCGGUGUCUACAGUAAUUGACAUUACAUCAACGUCUGCUUGCAGGAGGGAAGGCCUGAAGCAAUGUCAGCAUCAGGGAAAAGACUAACUCAUGGCCUGGGUUGUGCACAGGCAUCUGAUCUUAUGCUAUUCCAAGCUGGGUGUUGAAAUGGAAGCGCAGUGGGUGACUACACGAUACAGUUGUGUUUUCAUUUCUCAAGGAAGGCUCUGACUGUCCUGCUGCUUGGCACACAACUUGCAUUUUGACUUUUUACCUUUAGAAUUUUCUUUCCAUUUUAAGUGGCUGAUUAUCUUUGGGGUUAGAGUUGGUGCUGGGCAAAUGUCAAUUAAGAAUAAACAUAUUGACAGCCAAGCAGGGCUGGCUCCAGUCCAUAAAGAAGCAGUCCUCAAAAGAAUGUCCAGAACAAUACUGUGUGUGUGUGUGUGAAAUGUGAUCAAGCACUUUCUUCGCUGCAUAUACCCAGUGUUGUGGCUGGCACCACUGAUCACGGAAUCUUCUAAGUGCAGAGCUGAUGCCAGGCACCACUUGCAUCUCCAGAACUGAGUGCUAAGUAAUCAUAUUUUCUUUAUAAAGUUAGUUUGCCUGAAGAAUUACAUGGUUGACAAUAAAAAGCACAUUCAAACACCUUC
rnacentral:lncRNA from 1 species